rnacentral:rRNA from 1 species
AUGGUUGUCGUCAGGCUCGUGCCGUGAGGUGUCGGGUUAAGUCCCGCAACGAGCGCAACCCCUAUUGCUAGUUACCUAUCAUUAAGUUGGGGACUCUAGCGAGACUGCCAGUGAUAAACUGGAGGAAAGGUGGGGAUGACGUCAAAUCAUCAUGCCCCUUAUGACCUGGGCUACAAACGUGAUACAAUGGCUGGAACAAAGGGAUGCGAAGCAGUGAUGUGGAGCGAAACCCAUAAAAACAGUCUCAGUUCGGAUUGAAGUCUGCAACUCGACUUCAUGAAGUCGGAAUCGCUAGUAAUCGCGGAUCAGAACGCCGCGGUGAAUACGUUCUCGGGGUUU